rnacentral:rRNA from 1 species
GACAAACGCUGGCGGCGUGCCUAAAACAUGCAAGUCGAACGGUCCUCGGGACGAGUGGCGAACGGGUGAGUAACACGUGGGCGAACCUGCCCUCAGCUCUGGGAUAACUCCAAGAAAUUAGGUGCUAAUACCGGAUGUGACCGCUGACCGCAUGGUCUGGCGGUGGAAAGAUUCAUCGGCUGGGGAUGGGCCCGCGGCCUAUCAGCUUGUUGGUGGGGUCACGGCCCACCAAGGCGACGACGGGUAGCCGGCCUGAGAGGGUGGACCGGCCACACUGGGACUGAGACACGGCCCAGACUCCUACGGGAGGCAGCAGUGGGGGAA